UCUUCAAUCUCAAUCUCUCUACACCCGUUCCCUUCUCCUUCUAUGCCAUUAUCAUUAUCAGUUUCUUCAACUCAACCGUUCCUCUUUCAAUGCAAUCAUCAGAUUCUUUAAUUCAGUUGUUCCCCUUCAAUAGCACUGUCCGUUUCCAGCCACCCCACAUAUAAAGAAAACCUCCUGAGACGAUUAUUCUUCAAUUCCAUCAUCAACGGUGGCUUUAGGGCUCUGUCGCAAGUCAGUCAGUCAUGGGGUUCUUGUGGUAGACGAUUCUUCUUCAAUUCCAUCAUCAAUUUAUGCAAUUGAAGGUUUCUCCUUCAAUCUCCCUAUUAAAAGGCACAUCCGGUUCGUUUUCUUGAAUGGCGCCAUCAUCCUCAGACCUCUGUAUGUUCUUAUGGAAAUCAGAGACAUGAAGCUUAAGUAAAUCGAUGAGGCUUACAACCUGGUAACGGAAAUGGCACUUCUGACCAUAGAUUAAGGGAAGAGAGUUCUUAUUGUGUAAGCUGCAGGUAUUCGUUUUGAGUGUGGAUGUAAAUUGUGAAGUAAGUUUGUUGCUUAAAUUCCAUUAUGUUUUAGGGGUUGGGAACAAGUAAUGCUAUUAAAGUGCAGAGUAUUGUGCUGAUCUUGAAAUGGCAGAUGAUUAAUUUUGUGGCAACGGAGCUCGCUUUUAGUGAAAAGAGGAUUUGAGGCCAACAACCAUGUUCAACUUUCUACAACAACAUUUCGUAUAACUGGGACCCAAGCUGCACUAUGAGAGGUUAGCAAGGAUGGAUUACAUAAUAUAGUAGGAAAGGCAGCAACUUCAUCGGUGGUAAAUUUGACCAAAAGUUAGCUGGCGAAAAUCUCUUGAUUCAUGAUAAGGGCACAUGAAAACCUUGUGUGUUGAUAUCUUUUAACAGUUUAUCAAUAACUGGCAUUGAUGACCCGAGAUACGAUCUGGUUCAGCCAUGUUUGCUUAAACAUUUGAGCCAAAACGCUUACUGUGGUUUUGCAAAAGAUGAACCAAAUUGUUCAGGUUGUGUGGGUUGAUCCUAUCUAUUUUGAUGGU